rnacentral:rRNA from 1 species
UACAGAGGGUGCGAGCGUUGUUCGGAAUUAUUGGGCGUAAAGGGCGCGUAGGCGGUGCGGUAAGUCACCUGUGAAAUCUCCUGGCUCAACUGGGAGCUUGCAGGCGAAACUGCCGUGCUGGAGUGUGGGAGAGGUGCGUGGAAUUCCUGGUGUAGCGGUGAAAUGCGUAGAUAUCAGGAGGAACACCUGUGGCGAAAGCGGCGCACUGGACCACAACUGACGCUGAGGCGACGAAAGCUAGGGGAGCAAACAGG